ensembl:antisense Gm15417 predicted gene 15417
GUUUCCUGUGGGUCAGCUAGCACCGGCGCCUCUGCCCCUCCCCUGCUCCGGACCCAGGCUCCCCGCCUUACCCCCCGCCCCCCCAGGGCGCCCCGAGGUCUCACCACGUCUCAGCCGCCCUUUGAUACAUGGGGGUUGUGCGGGGCGGGGGGCAGGGGACCCGCCCUCUCUCCAAACACUAGCAGGGCCGGGGCGCCUGGGCAGGCACGUGUCCGGGCACAACCCGCUGCCCACGCUGCCCCCCCACUCCCGCCCCCCCCCGCUCUGGCCAGGACACGUCGCUCUCUUACUUGGGUGGGGUGGGAGGAGGGGAGAGAAAGCUGGAAAUGGAAAGCAGCGCCCCCCACCCCUCUGAAUGGCCAACCUCGGCCAGCGGUGCGCACUAGGUUUCUACCACACAGCGACCCCCACUCUGCUCAGGGCAGGUGCGCCGGCGCCGGCGGCAAGACCGCUGGUAGGUCGAGUUCUUAUCACCCACCCUCGCACUGGAGUUGUGAGAGCAAAAGCUGACUUUGAAAAGGUGGCGGUGGGCCUGAGGCUUGAGAGACCGGAAUGUGAUUGCGGAGCGGGAGGGGCAGAGGGGUCGUCCUGCUGAGCCGCACUACCGCUGGAGAGACGACGCGGCUCUGGAAGCGCAAGAAACCGAAUAGUCCAGCCGGAGUCUUACUAUAUCGCUCCUGCUGUUCUCCACCUCCGGGGAUCAAAUUGCCCACGUCAGCUUCCGGAAUCGAAGGGAAGAUAGAUGUGUGUGUGCUACCCACCUGGCAAGCCCUAAAGUUGAGAUGUGGAAACGUGGGUGCACUGAAUGUCUGUUCUACUAAAGAGUGUUGUUCUUCUGACCUUGGGAUGAAUCGCUUCCCUUCUUGGGCCUGUUUAUUCAAGUUAAUGUGAAAUAAUCCCCUUUAACAUUAGUUAUCUUUCCUA